rnacentral:rRNA from 1 species
UACGGAGGGGGCUAGCGUUGUUCGGAAUCACUGGGCGUAAAGCGCGCGUAGGCGGUUAGGAAAGUUGGGAGUGAAAGCCCAGGGCUCAACCUUGGAACUGCUCUCAAAACUUCCUGGCUAGAGAAUUGGAGAGGUGGGCGGAAUUCCGAGUGUAGAGGUGAAAUUCGUAGAUAUUCGGAAGAACACCAGUUGCGAAGGCGGCUCACUGGCCAAUUUCUGACGCUGAGGUGCGAAAGCGUGGGGAGCAAAC